CUAGCAUUGUGGAGCUUUUGUUCUGUUACUGUGGAGUUAGAGCUGCCUCUUCCAAAUCUUGAAUUCUGAAAUUUGAGAAUAAGAUUCUCCUAAGGGUGUUGACCUAGCCAGGAUGUUGUCUAUAGUGGAGCUGCAGAUCAAAGGAGCUACAUAACCUUCACUUUAAGACAACAGAAGCAACGGGCUAAGACAGGAUCUCACUCAGUCACUAAGUUGCCCAGGCCAGCCUUGAAGUUAUGACUCUUGUGCCUCAUCCUCUGGAGCAGCUGGGAUUAUAGGCUUGAGGCCCUGCUUCCUUUGGCUGCUGCUGAUGUACCCCGUGCACGUAUUCUCACCGGCUCACUCACGUCGGCACGCCAUUCACUCAGGCCAGGGGCAGACGACAAAAGUCUCUGGGCACUGGCAGCUGAAUAGAAUUUCCAAAGGGACUAAUUUAUCGAUGACACCUGUCAAAGCAUUCCAGAUGUGGAACUGGGAUUGAAUGCAGGGCCUUUGCACUGAGCUGCAUCUCCAGCCUCUUUUUUCUUUUGAGGCAGGAUCUUACUAAGUCACAAAGUUGCCCGGGGUG
rnacentral:lncRNA from 1 species